rnacentral:rRNA from 1 species
AACUUUCGACAACGGAUCUCUUGGUUCUCCCAUCGAUGAAGAACGCAGCGAAAUGCGAUAAGUAAUGUGAAUUGCAGAAUUCAGUGAAUCAUCGAAUCUUUGAACGCACCUUGCGCUCUUGGGUA